AGAAAACAGAGGCUCAGGGAUGGGAAGUCACUUGCCUGUGAUCACAUGACAGAUGAGCAAUCAGGAUGGGAUUUAAGCCAGGUCAUACUGUUUCCAAAGGAUUUGGUAAAUCUCCAAACUUACUGCCUUAGUUUGGGUUCUCCAGGAAACAGACUCAGAAAGAGCUUGAGUGUAGGUAGUUUUUGUGGGGGGUGAUCUCAGGAGGCAGGAGUGAAGGAGCUGGGAGAGCAAGGCAAGAAGGUAGGAAACACCAGCAUAAGGGUGCUUGCUGUGGUUUCAGGUCUUAACUCUGCAGGAUCUCUUAGAGACCAGGGCAGUUACUACCACCAGCGUCAGUCCCUGCCUGGUUGAAUGUGCUCGUAAGGGUGUUAAUUCUCUUCCACUUUCAGGAUGUGUCUGAAGAGGGCUGAGUAGACUCCAGAGAAUCUGAAAAAGACUUUGAGUCAAAAAGCAGAAAGAAGCUUAGCAAAUGCAUGAAAUAGGUGCCGUCAGCAUGAGUCUCAUGAACCGGACUCCACAGCUGCAGCUGAGUGUGUAGGUGGCCUGAGGGAUGCGGUGCCGGCCACUGACACCAACAACUCUGUUACACUUAUUCUAGCUCAAGUUCUUUUUCCUCCUUCUUCACCAUGACCUUGUGAGUUAGGAGAUCAGUUUUCAACUUUCUAGCUGGAAAGGUUGAGGCUGUGAAUUGUCAAUGACUUGCCAGAAGGCACACAGUAAACAGUGCCCUUGGGACCUCUGUUUAGAGGAAGAGCUUCACAUUUAGCUUGCUUUCUAUUGUGACUCACUCUGUUCAACUAAGUUAUGAACAAGCCUCGAUGCACAAGGAUGAAAGAAAUCAGAUUUGAGAAAGCCCAGUCUUCACCCAUGGACAGCUGAGAAAGGCAUGAGACAGGAAUAUUAUAAUUCAUCUAUAAGAAAGUGCUCAUCUAAAGAAGAAAAUGCUAGCCAGACUUCCUCUGAGACACAGCCAGAUUCUGUCUGAAGAUACAGA
rnacentral:lncRNA from 1 species